rnacentral:rRNA from 1 species
UUCCGGUUGAUCCUGCCGGACCCCACUGCUAUCGGAAUAGGACUAAGACAUGCUAGUCGUGUGCCUCAGCCAAAACGAGGCACGGCGCACAGCUCAGUAACACGUGGCUAACCUGCCCUUAGGACGAGAAUAACCCCGGGAAACUGGGGCUAAUGCUCGAUAGGUGAAGAACUCUGGAAUGAGUCUUCACUUAAAAGAGUCUGCGUUAUGCUCGUAGAUUUCGCUUAAGGAUGGGGCCGCGACCGAUCAGGUUGUUGGUGAGGUAAUGGCUCACCAAGCCUUUUACCGGUGCGGGCCGUGAGAGCGGGAGCCCGGAGAUGGGCACUGAGACAAGGGCCCAGGCCCUACGGGGCGCAGCAGUCGCGAAAACUUUGCAAUACACGAAAGUGUGACAGGGCUAUCCCGAGUGCCAUCCGCUGAGGAAGGCUUUUACCCAGUCUAGAAAGCUGGGGGAAUAAGGAGAGGGCAAGUCUGGUGUCAGCCGCCGCGGUAAUACCAGCUCUCCGAGUGGUGUGGAUGUUUAUUGGGCUUAAAGCAUCCGUAGCUGGCUAAGUUAGUCCCCUGUUAAAUCCAACGAAUUAAUCGUUGGAUCGCGGGGGAUACUGCUUGGCUAGGGGACGAGAGAGGCAGACGGUAUUUCCGGGGUAGGGGUGAAAUCCUAUAAUCCCGGGAAGACCACCAGUGGCGAAGGCUGUCUGAUAGAACGCGCCCGACGGUGAGGGAUGAAAGCUGGGGGAGCGAACCGGAUUAGAUACCCGGGUAGUCCCAGCUGUAAACGAUGCAGGCUAGGUGUUUGGACGGCCACGUGCCGUUCUAGUGCCGCAGGGAAGCUGUUAAGCCUGCCGCCUGGGGAGUACGAUCGCAAGAUUGAAACUUAAAGGAAUUGGCGGGGGAGCACCACAAGGGGUGAAGCUUGCGGUUUAAUUGGAGUCAACGCCGGG